GGGCGGCUAGCUCAGUUGGUUAGAGCGCCAUCCUCACACGGUGGAGGUCGUGCGUUCGAAUCGCACGCCGCCCA
rnacentral:tRNA from 1 species